rnacentral:rRNA from 1 species
UUGGAGGGCAAGUCUGGUGCCAGCAGCCGCGGUAAUUCCAGCUCCAAUAGCGCAUAUUAAAGUUGUUGCAGUUAAAAAGCUCGUAGUUGAAUUUCGGGAUUAGUACGUCGGUCGUGCCUUAGGUACGUACUGGUGUUACUGGUUCCUACCUUCUGACGAACCAUCAUGUCAUUAAUUUGGUGUGGUGGGGAAUCAGGACUGUUACUUUGAAAAAAUUAGAGUGUUUAAAGCAGGCUCGCGCUUGAAUACAUUAGCAUGGAAUAAUGAAAUAGGACGUUGAUCCUAUUUUGUUGGUUUCUAGGAUUGACGUAAUGAUUAAUAGGGAUAGUUGGGGGCAUUAGUAUUCAAUUGUCAGAGGUGAAAUUCUUGGAUUUAUUGAAGACUAACUACUGCGAAAGCAUUUGCCAAGGAUGUUUUCAUUAAUCAAGAACGAAAGUUAGGGGAUCGAAGACGAUCAGAUACCGUCGUAGUCUUAACCAUAAACUAUGCCGACUAGGGAUCGGAUGAUGUUAAUUUUUUAAUGACUCAUUCGGCGCCUUACGGGAAAC